UUUCAAAGAUAGUUGCUAUGGUAAUUAAGUUUAUAGAAAAUCUGAAUGUAAUGGGAUGGUCACUUUUGUGAUUAUUUCCUGUUGUGUAUUUGUAAGAAAGCAGUGAUACGAAGAAAACAAAAAGAGAAAAUCAUGUCAUCUGAGAUUCAAAGAGAAAGAUAGUAACAUAGUCGGUUAGAAAAAAACCAUAGCUGUAAAGAGUCUUCGGAUAAGGAGAUAGAUGAUGCAGCUAAAGAUUGGCAGUGCUUAAGCCUUGACAGAGAAGGUGGCAAGAAACAGAGAAGGGAAAAAAAGAAUAACAUAUAUAAAUAAUAAUGACACUGUUGAAGUUCAAAUUGAGGAGGACACUACUCGUGGUGACGACCAAUGAUAUCAAAUUUAAAAUAAAUAAAGUUUCAUCUUC